rnacentral:rRNA from 1 species
AACGAACGCUGGCGGCAGGCCUAACACAUGCAAGUCGAGCGGGGACUUCGGUCCUAGCGGCGGACGGGUGAGUAACGCGUGGGAACGUGCCCUUUGCUUCGGAAUAGCCCCUGGAAACGGGGAGUAAUACCGGAUGUGCCCUUUGGGGGAAAGAUUUAUCGGCAAAGGAUCGGCCCGCGUUGGAUUAGGUAGUUGGUGGGGUAAUGGCCUACCAAGCCGACGAUCUGUAGCUGGUCUGAGAGGACGACCAGCCACACUGGGACUGAGACACGGCCCAGACUCCUACGGGAGGCAGCAGUGGGGAAUUUUGGACAAUGGGCGCAAGCCUGAUCCAGCAAUGCCGCGUGCAGGAUGAAGGCC